rnacentral:rRNA from 1 species
UACGUAGGGGGCAAGCGUUGUCCGGAUUUAUUGGGCGUAAAGAGCGUGUAGGCGGCUAGGUAGGUCCGUUGUGAAAACUCGAGGCUCAACCUCGAGACGUCGAUGGAAACCAUCUAGCUAGAGUCCGGAGGAGGAGAGUGGAAUUCCUGGUGUAGCGGUGAAAUGCGCAGAUAUCAGGAAGAACACCCGUGGCGAAGGCGGCUCUCUGGUACGUGACUGACGCUGAGACGCGAAAGCGUGGGGAGCGAACAGG